CGACCCUUCUUAAGCCGAGGGUCACCUAGCCAACUGACGUUGUUAGUGAAUGCACAUUGUUCACAUUAAAUAUUAGCCAAUCGCGAUUGUUGCGGUUGGCUUUUUUUUU
rfam:Vibrio mytili strain CAIM 528 contig00059, whole genome shotgun sequence.